UACAGGUGUGAGCCACUGCACCCAGCAAACUCUCCUGUUAUUCUAAUCAUGUACAGGUAGUUCCUUUUGGUUUUGUAAGUAAAAAAGCAUUAUCAUCUGCAAGUAUUGACAGCUUUUUAUCAACUUAAAAAGUUUUUAUGCACCUUUUUAUUUUUUCUGGUUUUAUUGCCCUAGCAAAACUCUUCAAUACAUUGUUGCCUAAAUGUGGCAAUAGAAUAAUUUUUUUUUUCCAUUUCUAACUUGGAAGAGGAUUCUUCCAACAAUUUUUCAUUUAGGGAAUGCACCACACUCUCGAUGUGCGUACAGAGAAGAUGGCUGGCUGGCUGGAUCCAGGGUUUUAAUGUUUCCAGGACAAGAGCAUGGGAACAACCAUCUCCUGGAAUGGCCCUUCCACAGGAAGAGAGGAGGACACAUGGCACAGAGGAAGGAUGGGGCACCUGGAUUCAAAAUCUGCUUACACCAUCCACGGAGCCUGGGAUGUUGAAGAAUUAGUUUUUUCUCUUGGAACUUGCUUUCCUUACUUGUAAAAUAAAGUUAAUCCUACAAACACUACAAGGCCAUUGUGAGGGUCAAAUGAGACCAGGCAUGGUAAAGUAUCUUGUAAACAGCAAAUUACGAAAAACAAAUACAAACAAAACAGAAAACGUAAAACAACAACAAAGGUCUUGGUUCUAAAGGACAUGAAACUUUCAUUUGACCCAAUUUAGAGAUCAUUCAUUCCUUCAACAAAUAAUAAUUGAAGCCCUGCGAUGUGCCAUACCUUCACACAUUCUAAGAAUUAUUCCUAUUUACACACUUUCAAGAAACCUAUCAUUUCCGGUUGGGAAGGACACCCACAGCAUCCC